CCCGCUCAGGCCUCAGCCAGCACAGAGAGGGGCUCCCACGGUGCAGCUGCGGGCUGAAGGGCUCCUCAAGCGCGGCCAGAGUGGGCUGAGGCCGAGGAGGCGCCGAGAGCCAGCGAGGGAUGCCAGCAAGCUGUCACCUCUCAGAAAUACAGGAAGAACAUCAAUAAUGUUCGAAGUUAUAAAUUGCAGAGGUCAGAGGUCAGAAAACAAGGUGUCUGCAGGACCAACCUCUCCUCUGGAUGCUC
rnacentral:lncRNA from 1 species